rnacentral:lncRNA from 1 species
UGUACUGUGAUGGCUAACGGGGGGACUAUAUGUUUUUCAGAUCUGGGACACAUUUGAUUUUUGAGAAGAAAUAGAUUAUUCAUUUAGCAAGAAGUACCGGUUGAGUACUGCCAAUACAAAUACUUUUUUGGGCCUGAAAAAUAGUCUUCCAUCUUUAAUGAGGACCUGGCUGAAAAGAAAACCUUGAACCUCAGAAGUUCUUGAAGAUAUGGAAGGAGAGCAAAGUGAUGUGUGUUGUAGAAAACAGAUGCCGCUGAUUUGAAUGAAGGUUCAAGCUGGGGCCUCUUCCUCAUCAGUGACAGAUGCAGCAGUGGUGUCACAGAUGUCUCCCAAAGGCACCGUCUCUCUGUGGAUGCUGCCAGUCUCCAAGACUGAGGAUGGCAACGUCAGCCCUACCGCUGCCCAAGGCCACUGCUGUUUUAUAUUGCUGCCACCA